rnacentral:misc_RNA from 1 species
AAUGAAGAACGUAGCGAAAUGCGAUAAGUAAUGUGAAUUGCAGAAUUCAGUGAAUCAUCGAAUCUUUGAACGCACAUUGCGCCCGUCAGUAUUCUGGCGGGCAUGCCUGUUCGAGCGUCAUUACGCCCCUCAAGUCCCCUGUGGACUUGGUGUUGGGGAUCGGCGAGGCUGGUUUUCCAGCACAGCCGUCCCUUAAAUUAAUUGGCGGUCUCGCCGUGGCCCUCCUCUGCGCAGUAGUAAAACACUCGCAACAGGAGCCCGGCGCGGUCCACUGCCGUAAAACCCCCCAACUUUUUAUAGUUGACCUCGAAUCAGGUAGGACUACCCGCUGAACUUAAGCAUAUCAAUAAGCGGAGGA